rnacentral:rRNA from 1 species
CGGGGUGCACCAGGCGCGAAAACUCUACAAUGCAGGCAACUGCGAUGGGGGAACAUCGAGUGAUCCUCAUAUUGGGGGUCUGUCCACCCGUCUAAAAAACGGGUGUUAGCAAGGGCCGGGCAAGACCGGUGCCAGCCGCCGCGGUAAUACCGGCGGCUCGAGUGGUGGCCGAUAUUAUUGAGUCUAAAGGGUCCGUAGCCGGCUUUGCAAGUCUCUCGGGAAAUCCAGCGGCUUAACCGUUGGUCGUCCGGGGGGUACUACAUUGCUUGGGACUGGGAGAGGUAGGAGGUACUCAGGGGGUAGGAGUGAAAUCCUGUAAUCCUUUGGGGACCACCGGUGGCGAAGGCGUCCUACCAGAACAGGUCCGACGGUGAGGGACGAAAGCUAGGGGCACGAACCGGAUUAGAUACCCGGGUAGUCCUAGCCGUAAACGAUGCUCGCUAGGUGUCACAACAGUCGUGAACUGUUGUGGUGCCGUAGGGAAGCCGUGAAGCGAGCCACUUGGGAAGUACGACCGCAAGGUUGAAACUUAAAGGAAUUGGCGG